CCUACGGGAGGCAGCAGUGGGGAAUAUUGGGCAAUGGGCGCAAGCCUGACCCAGCAACGCCGCGUGAAGGAAGAAGGCUUUCGGGUUGUUAACUUCUUUUUAGCGGGAAGCGAAGAAGGCGGUACCUCUUGAAUCAGACACGGCUAACUACGUGACAGCAGCCGCGGUAAUACGUAGGUGGCAAGCGUUGUCCGGAUUUACUAGGUGUAAAGGGCUUGAAGCCGGGAAGACAAGGCAGAUGUGAAAUCCCGCGGCUUAACCGCGGCCCUGCGGUUGAAACUGUCUUUCUUGAGUACCGGAGAGGUCAGCGGAAUGCGUGGUGUAGCGGUGAAAUGCGUAGAUAUAACGAAGAACACCAGUUGCGAAGGCGGAUGACUGGAGGGCAACUGACGGUGAGGCGCGAAAGCGUGGGGAGCAAACAGGAUUAGAUACCCCGGUAGUC
rnacentral:rRNA from 1 species